UACGUAGGGAGCAAGCGUUGUCCGGAAUCAUUGGGCGUAAAGCGCGCGUAGGUGGCCAUGUAAGUCCGCUGUGAAAGUCAAAGGCUCAACCUUUGAAAGCCGGUGGAUACUGCAUGGCUAGAGUACGGAAGAGGCGAGUGGAAUUCCUGGUGUAGCGGUGAAAUGCGCAGAUAUCAGGAGGAACACCGAUGGCGAAGGCAGGUCUCUGGGCAUUAACUGACGCUGAGGAGCGAAAGCAUGGGGAGCGAACAGG
rnacentral:rRNA from 1 species